GGAGUGAGGGGCACCUGAUCACCAUUCGCGUGAGUGAAGAAGGCCUUCGGGUUGUAAAGCUCUUUCAGCUGGAACGAAACGGUACAGGCUAAUACCCUGUGCUAAUGACGGUACCGGCAGAAGAAGCACCGGCUAACUACGUGCCAGCAGCCGCGGUAAUACGUAGGGUGCGAGCGUUAAUCGGAAUUACUGGGCGUAAAGCGUGCGCAGGCGGAUUGUUAAGCAAGAUGUGAAAUCCCCGGGCUUAACCUGGGAAUGGCAUUUUGAACUGGCAGUCUAGAGUGCGUCAGAGGGGGGUGGAAUUCCACGUGUAGCAGUGAAAUGCGUAGAGAUGUGGAGGAACACCAAUGGCGAAGGCAGCCCCCUGGGAUGACACUGACGCUCAUGUACGAAAGCGUGGGUAGCAAACAGGAUUAGAUACCCUGGUAGUCCACGCCCUAAACGAUGUCAACUGGUUGUUGGGGGAGUGAAAUCCCUUAGUAACGAAGCUAACGCGUGAAGUUGACCGCCUGGGGAGUACGGUCGCAAGAUUAAAACUCAAGAAUUUUGUGCCGGA
rnacentral:rRNA from 1 species